CAUCAACAUGGGUGGUGCAUGCAAAAUCAAAAGUUAAUGAGAUGCAUAAACGGGAGAAUGAUAUGACCAGUUGUCCCAUAAAAACGGCAGAAACUAGCUGUUUAAAAUGCUAGUCAACGUCUGCAGUGUAAUGCUAGUUGAAUCGUUUUGUUUACUCAUGGCAACAGUUGAUAAGGACGGAAAAGGCUUUUAGCCUUCUUCCCUCUGAAAGACGCAAUGACACGCCCACUCCGGUUCGCAGGAAAAAACAACUAUUUUUUGGUUCAACUUCCGAACCAAGGUGCCACGUUCCGAACCGGCUUUUGUUUGGUGAAAACGCGACGAACGGUUCAAAUGUUGGUUCGCGAACGGGAACGGAGCCGGUUCUCUGUCGGUGAAAAAAGGCCUUAUGUGCCUCUGCAGAAGGGUGAGUAGGUUAUGAUUCCAGUGUGACUGACAUUAGUGAUAACAAUGAAGGAUGUGGAUAAUCAAUUCAUUCUCUCUCUCUCUCAUUCUCUCUCUCUCUCUCGCUCUGGUGUUCAAAGUUAGUGAAGAUGCAUAUGAGACAAUUCCUGUCAAGUACUGGGAUGGGGAAGUUUCAUGUCUUAAUCCAUCGGCUUUAGCCCAACCACAGCAACCCAUCUGUCAGAAUGUAGGCCAAGCCCAAAGCCAGCCUGGGGAGAGUGAAGGGGACCAAUCUCUCUAUGUGCCUCUGCAGAAGGGCACUGAAGAUGUAUAUGAGACAAUUACUGUCAAGGACUGAGAUGGGAAAGAUAGUGAACAGGCUCCUAGAAGCUCAUCUUGAAGCGGUUCUCCUAUAGUCACAAAUAGGAUCACAGAAAACCACAGAAAAAGGGUAUUCAAAUAUGCAUCCAGGACCAAUUGAAUGUAUUCUCCCGUUCAUCACCAUCAUCAUCGUCAUUAUUAUAUCGGCCAUAUGCCAUGUCCUGUGUGUCAUUGUCAUACGUUUUUGUAUUAGUCUGUUAUUCUAUUUUGAUAUUGACCUGUGGUUGGAUGGAUGUUUUGGAUGGACUUUGAUUUUGGACGAUAAAAGAAGCAAAAUUCACUGAAGAUUCCACAUGUUUGUACCAAGUCAGCACAGUGUUUUACCUCCAUCACUUGGCCUCUCAGUGACUUUAUUUGCACAUAGCCAGAAUCAUCUAGCUCAUCAUCAUCAUUACCUUCAUCACCAUCAUUAUCAUCUGCACUUUCAUCAUCAUCCUCAUCAUCUACUUCAGAAUCAUCAUAAUCAUCUUUGUCACCUGUAAAUUCAGUUUGAAAUCACGUGCUGGGAAACUACAAUUAGAUAGGCACUGUGUCAUGUUGUAGUGUAUACUGUAUGUGUAGUGUCAUGUUAUCAACUUUCUUCAACUGUAAAGUUAUGUUAGAGUGAUGCAUUGUGAAUUGUGAAAGCCAUGUGAAUAGUCAGUCUUGCUCAAUAUGUGUUUGAGUAUGCAGUUAACAUAUUACUUAAUGGAUCAAGAUUCUGCAUUUCUUUGUUACAGUGAUGAUGUUCAAGUGUCCCAUCAAACAAGACAGGCAG